GGAUGCCCGGAGGGGGCGGUGGCCUCGUCUUUGGCUCUGAGGCGGCGGCGCGAGGCGCAGCAAACGCUCGGCUGCUGCGGUCCGUGGUGUGGGGUACGCAAGGGUGCGGACCUCGGAGCUCUCCCAGCCUGUCCCGUUUCUCAGCGCCUUCCCCACCCGAACCGGGGUCUCGCGUUUGGAAACGCUCCGGGUGCAGCCCCGCGCGGGGCCGGCCGUAACCGUGCCGCGGGCCGGACGAUGCCCAAGAAGCUGCUGUUGUUGCCCCAGCUCUCCGCGUCCUCGGCCUUCCGUGUCCCGCGCGCCCGCCCCGCUCCCCCGCCGGCCAUGAACGCCGCUCGCACCGGCUACCGAGUCUUCUCGGCCAACUCCACGGCCGCCUGCACGGAGCUGGCCAAGCGCAUCACAGAGAAGCCCCUGGUCUCAAGUCGCCUUUGGGGUCUGACAGCUCUGAGAUGCCUUCCCAGCCUUGCCACUUACUAGCUCUGUCACUGGGCAAGAGACUUGAUUUCCCUGAACCUCAUCUGUGAAAUGGGCAUGAUUCUCUCUCAUGGCCAAGAAUAUUGUGAGUAUGACCGGGAUAGUGUAGUAGUAGUAUCUGGUUCUAGCAGAGCAGGGCUCAUAGUGGCCCCCUGAAUACCUGUUUACUAAAU